rnacentral:rRNA from 1 species
CCUACGGGUGGCAGCAGUGAGGAAUAUUGGUCAAUGGACGAGAGUCUGAACCAGCCAAGUAGCGUGAAGGAUGACUGCCCUAUGGGUUGUAAACUUCUUUUAUAUGGGAAUAAAACGUUCCACGUGUGGGAUUUUGUAUGUACCAUAUGAAUAAGGAUCGGCGAACUACGUGCCAGCAGCCGCGGUAAUACGGAGGAUCCGAGCGUUAUCCGGAUUUAUUGGGUUUAAAGGGAGCGUAGGUGGAUUGUUAAGUCAGUUGUGAAAGUUUGCGGCUCAACCGUAAAAUUGCAGUUGAAACUGGCAGUCUUGAUUACAGUAGAGGUGGGCGGAAUUCGUGGUGUAGCGGUGAAAUGCUUAGAUAUCACGAAGAACUCCGAUUGCGAAGGCAGUUCACUGGACUGCAACUGACACUGAGGCUCGAAAGUGUGGGUAUCAAACAGGAUUAGAUACCCCAGUAGUC